GCGAAAACCAAGAAUAAUGCUUAUUUGGGCCCUUUUUUGGCCCCUAAUUCCUAAACUGUUGAAACCUAAACUCCCAAAAUCAAUCCCAACCGUUCUUUUGUGGUCAUAAACCUUGUGUCAAAAUUUCAUAGAUUUCUAUUAACUUAAACUAAAGUUAUAGUGCGAAAACCAAGAAAAUGCUUAUUUGGGCCCUUUUUGGCCCCUAAUUCCUAAAAUGUUGGGACCAUAACUCCCAAAAUCAAUACCAACCUUCCUUUUGUGGUCAUAAACCUUGUGUUAAAAUUUCAUAGAUUUCCAUUCACUUUUACUAAAGUUAGAGUGCGAAAACUAAAAGUAUUCGGACGCCGGACGACGACGACGACGACGCAGACGCCAACGUGAUAGCAAUAUACGACGAAAAAUUUUUCAAAUUUUGCGGUCGUAUAAAAACAUUUUAGAUAAGAUAAGGAAAAAAAGCUUCAUCAGCAACAUUUUAUAUUGGCAAAUUUCCAAUGAAGUUAUUUACAUAAAGUUAUUGGCAAAUAAAAAUAGAAAAUGACAUCAUAG
rnacentral:lncRNA from 1 species